CAGCCGCCGCGGGAAUACGAAGGGUGCAAGCGUUACUCGGAAUUACUGGGCGUAAAGCGUGCGUAGGUGGUUGUUUAAGUCUGCUGUGAAAGCCCUGGGCUCAACCUGGGAAUUGCAGUGGAUACUGGGCGACUAGAGUAAGGUAGAGGAUAGUGGAAUUUCCGGUGUAGCAGUGAAAUGCGUAGAGAUCGGAAGGAACAUCUGUGGCGAAGGCGACUAUCUGGGCCAUUACUGACACUGAGGCACGAAAGCGUGGGGAGCAAACAGGAUUAGAUACCCCUGUAGUCCCUGUCUCUUAUAC
rnacentral:rRNA from 1 species